rnacentral:rRNA from 1 species
AGAUUGAACGCUAGCGGGAUGCUUUACACAUGCAAGUCGAACGGCAGCGCGGACUUCGGUCUGGCGGCGAGUGGCGAACGGGUGAGUAAUAUAUCGGAACGUGCCCAGUAGCGGGGGAUAACUACGCGAAAGCGUGGCUAAUACCGCAUACGCCCUACGGGGGAAAGGGGGGAUUCUUCGGAACCUCUCACUAUUGGAGCGGCCGAUAUCAGAUUAGCUAGUUGGUGAGGUAAAGGCUCACCAAGGCGACGAUCUGUAGCUGGUUUGAGAGGACGACCAGCCACACUGGGACUGAGACACGGCCCAGACUCCUACGGGAGCAGCAGUGGGAAUUUUGGACAAGUGGGACAAAGCCUAGAUCCAGCCAUG